UUGACCUCGGAUCAGGUAGGAAUACCCGCUGAACUUAAGCAUAUCAAAAGGCGGAGG
rnacentral:rRNA from 1 species